UACGGGGGGUGCAAGCGUUAAUCGGAAUUACUGGGUGUAAAGGGCGUGUAGGCGGCACUGUAAGUCAGAUGUGAAAUCUCCCGGCUCAACCGGGAGCGUGCAUCUGAUACUGCAGUACUUGAGUGAUAGAGGGGAAAGCGGAAUUCCUAGUGUAGCGGUAAAAUGCGUAGAUAUUAGGAGGAACACCAGUGGCGAAGGCGGCUUUCUGGCUAUUAACUGACGCUGAGGCGCGAAAGCAUGGGGAGCGAACAGG
rnacentral:rRNA from 1 species